rnacentral:lncRNA from 1 species
AGAUAUUACAAACAUGGGUCUCAUGACCCAACACUCAGAGCAUACAAGUCAAAGCACAAGCGGAAGCUAUCAUGUCUGAGUACAGACAACUAUAAAUGAAAAAGGCUGAGAAGCCUGACUAUCUAUCAGAUCCUGCCGAGGGCACAAGAUCGUAGCUGAGGUAUCAAGCUAAACGUCGAAGUCCACGCAGAACUACUAGUGAGACUGAAGUCUCUCUGCACAAAACAUAAAAUAGGCAAACGUGAGUACAAAUGUACCCAGCAAGACUUACAUCAGAACUAACUACAUAUGCAUCAUUAUCAACAAAGGGAUGGUGGGGUUUAACUGCAUCAAGCCAGCUUUGACUCGGUGGCUAUCCUGAACUACGACUGCAAGUAACUCUUUUGAGGUGGCGCACACGAGUCCACAUAUUCACCAACCAAUACACCACUAUGGAUCCGCUCCCGUCUCCCUACGAGAACGCCAUCCAUAGCACUCACGCUUAUCUUGCGUAUUUUAGAGUAUCCACUUUCACUUGUCUAUGAACUGAUAUAAGCAACCCAGAAGUCCUUUUCCGCGGACACGGCUAUUCGAAUAGAUGAUGUUAACCCUGCAGGGGUGUACUUCUUCAUACAUGUUUCCACCACUUAGCGUCUGCACACGACAUGUGCUCGGCAGACUUCAAGCGAAAGCCGACGUGGGUGUAGACCACGACCUACCUAAACACUCAAGUCUCUAGUCCAGGUUUAUCGCCUCUUCGGGUUCCAUCCAUGAGGAGAUCCGGCCGGAGUUUCGCUCACAGCCCCAAACGAUGUGAACAGGGUUCCCGAGAUACCAAACGGGCAUCCGGUACACCGUGCCACGUACCUACCGCAUCACAGCCCACCCCUACGGUCAGCGCUGUCCACGGCCUCCAGUAAGCUACAAACACCGGAAACUACUUGCAACUCCUGGACAGAGGACAAGGGUGAAUAAGAAGUCGAGCGGGGUCAUAUUUCAGGGCCCAAUGUAUGGUAGUAGCUGAAUCAUGGAUCACAAACACAGAACUCAGUUCCUGAGGACGGCUACAAUGAGACAACCCACCAUGCACUCCUACAUGGCCUCUCACCGCUACCUUUACCAAAUCGUGUUCACACACUUAGCUCACACACAGUAGGACAUGUUCACACGCCUCUGAUUCAUCCCCGAUGAAUCAGACCUAACUCAACUCUAAGCAGUAGCAGGCAUGACAAACAAACAUGAAUGAGUAGGCACAACAGGGCUCAAACAACUCCUACUCAUGCUAGUGGGUUUCAUCUAAUUACUGUGGAAUGACAGGUCAUGCAGAGGAUAAAGGGGUUCAGCUACCGCAACAAGUAAUAGAUGAAUCGAUGUUGUCCUAAUGCAGUAAAAGAGAGCAGGAGCGAGAGAGUGGGAUUUUAUCGGAAUGAACAAGGGGGUUUUGCUUGCCUGGCACUUCUGAAGAUAACAUUGAGUCUUCAUCAGUGUCAACGAUCACAUCAUCGGUAUCGCGUCUAUCAAGAGGGGACAAAUACCGGAACAAAGAAGAAAUACAAUCAAUGCAAUGCACAAUAUGAUGCAUGCUCAUGACAUGGCAAUAUGAAUGUGUUUUGAGCUAAUGCAACUAGCAACAGAUUAAAUGAAGUUGGUUUGAAUAUAAAAUUCAAAUUCAAACUCCAUAUGUGAUUAAAUAAAUGCCCUUUAUAUGAUUUGUGCUAAACAGCAGCUAUAAGUUGAUCUAACAUGCAUGAAAAUGGUACAGAUGGAUUCCUUGAAUUUUUCUGAUAAUUUUUCAUAUAUAAUUUAUUUAAUUUGGAGUUACAGUUAAUUUUCUAUGAUUUAUUGAAGUUUAAACAAUUUUCUGGAAUUUUCUGAUUUAUUUUAAAUCCAGAAAAUCAUUUAAUGCGUCAGCAUGACAUCACCUUGACGUCAGCAGGUCAACAGGGCGCCUCCAGGUCAAACCUGACCUGUGGGACCCAUAUGUCAGCGUCACAGGUUAAACAGGGGGGGUUUAUUUUAGUUUAAUUAAGGAUUAGGGCACUAGGGCCCACAUGUCAGUGGCUCUGGGGUUAGAUUAGGUGGUGAUUAGCUUAAGCUAAUCACCUGAUGGCGGGGGCCCACCUGUCAGUGUCAGCAAAGGGGGUAGUUAAAAUAAAAUAACUAAACUAAUUAACAGGGGGGCUGGCCCACCUGUCAUCGACCCAAGGGGGGUCAAAGGGUCAAACCUCCUGGCCGGCGGGGUCAACUCGCCGGCGUUUAGCCGCCGGCGAGGCUAAACGCGGCGGUGCAGGUGCGGGUUUCACGUACCGGGCACCGUUCGGGGCGCCGUUGGGCGCUAUGGAUAGCUGGGAGUGGCCCGCGGCGAGUGGUGCAGGUAGUAGGGUUCGGGGUCGCCGGAAAAGGCGCCGGCAACGUGUUUGGCGGCGGCCGGAGCUACGGGUUCGAGCGGGGCGAGGCCACAGAGAACGGGAGGGAUGGCUAAGGGGCUCACCGGGCUCCUGAAGAUGCUAGGAGCACGGUGCCGUGCUCGGUUUCGAGCCUUACUGGCUGCAGUGACGGCGGCGACAUGGUCAGCGGCAGCCGGAGUUCGGCCGCGACGGGGCUAUGGCCUAGAGCUCGCAAACGCGAGGGGAGAGAGAGGGGUUCUGCACAGAGGCUCACCGCGGAGCUGUAGGGAGGGUCAGUGGGCUCGGGGGCGCGCCGGAGUGGCCGAAUUCGACGGAGACGGCACCGGGGCCGAAGCUCGGAGAUGAUGACGAUGGCGGCUGCUCGGGGCCCUUCCGGUCACGUGGCUCGGUGAGGGGGUUGGCGACGAGGUGCAGGAGCUCGGGAGCACGUCGGAGAGGGGAGGGGGUGGCCGUGGUCAUGGCUACGGCGANNNNNNNNNNGGAGGGUCAGUGGGCUCGGGGGCGCGCCGGAGUGGCCGAAUUCGACGGAGACGGCACCGGGGCCGAAGCUCGGAGAUGAUGACGAUGGCGGCUGCUCGGGGCCCUUCCGGUCACAUGGCUCGGUGAGGGGGUUGGCGACGAGGUGCAGGAGCUCGGGAGCACGUCGGAGAGGGGAGGGGGUGGCCGUGGUCAUGGCUACGGCGAGCGGCGCUCUCAGGUGCGUUCGGUGACGAGAGGGAGGGAGAGCAAAGGAGGAGGAGGGGGUCCAGAGAGAGAGAGGCAGUCGAGGGGGGUCGAGGCGUCUCCGUGGCGUCGCGAGGGAGUCGGGGAGGCUGCCACGGCGAAGCAGGAGGUGGCCAGAGCUCUUNNNNNNNNNNNNNNNNNNNNNNNNNNNNNNNNNNNNNNNNNNNNNNNNNNNNNNAGCAGAGGAGGAGGAGGGGGUCCAGAGAGAGAGAGACGAUCGAGGGGGGUCGAGGCCGUCUUCGUGGCGUCGCGAGGGGGUCGGGGAGGCUGCCACGGCGAAGCAGGAGGUGGCCGAGGCGGCAUCGGCGCUCGCCACCGAGCUGCUUCGGUGCGAGGGGAGGAAGAUGACAAGGGGGAGGAGGUGGGCUGGGCCGGCCGGGGGAGAUGGGCCAGGUAAGUGGCCCAGGUGGGCUGCAGGUAAUGUUUCUCUCCCUCUCUCUGUUUUUCCUAUUUUACUUCUGUUUUCUAUUUUCUGUAUUUUGAUUUGAUUUAGUUUAGCAACUAAAUCAUUUAAAUAAAUUCUGUAGAUUUUUAUGUGGCUUGCUAAGAUAUAUACAAAGCCACUCACAAACUUCCAAAAUUAUUGGAGUCAUAUUUAAUAUAUAUUAAAUAUAAUUCCAAAGCAAAUAGUUAUUGGAUUAAAUCAAAUGACCAAAAUAAUUAUCUCUGUGACUCCAAAAAUAUUGGUUUAAAUUUUACCUCUCACCAAUAUUUCCAUGGAAUAACAGGAACAUUUUCUUGGACACAUUUGAGAAGAUUUAAUUGUUGAUUAUUUUUAGAGGUUUCUGAGGCUUUGAAAAAUCCUCAAUUCAAUUUUCAUUUGAAAUAAAACAUGAUGCUCACAAGAGGUCUAGCCUAGUGCAUUACCAGAAGCUAGGGAUGUGACAGUAGAUAUUUUGGAACCGCUGGUGCAUAGCACAACAACGGUCGGAAUUUUGACUAUCAAAAUCCUCAGGGCUAUCAUGUUCCUCACUGUGUAGGCAAUUCACACUGGCGAAUUCCUAACUCCUCAGUCACAACAAAUUCCUCAGAGACCAGAAGAACUUCGUCUCUGUCACUGAAGAAUAUGACUGAACUGUAUGAGAUUUCCAAUGGCUUCACUCGAAGGGAUUGGUAGGUGUAGGAUUUUGAGUUGAGCAUCACAUGGAAAUUUUUCCUUAGUAUUUCCUCGACCCCCUUUAACAGUACGGUGUUUCCUAUGAAUCAAGAAAGAGAAAAUGAAACUACGAAAACAAAAGUCUUCAUGCUUCAUGUUCCUUGAAUGAUUGCCAUGUCUUCAAGGUCACACCAAUUUCUUCACUUUCAAAGUCUUCAGAAAGUCUUCAGAAAUCCAAAGUCUUCAGUUGAAGAACUUCAUUUUUAGGGGUCGACUUUCUCUGUAAAUAUCAAACUCCUCAUAGACUUAUAGUCCUGUGUACACUCACAAACGCAUCAGUCCUUUAACCUAUAAGUCUUCAAUACACCAAAAUCACUAAGGGGCACUAGAUGCACUUACAAGUAUGGCACUAUCCAAUCUGGGAUGACGUGAAGAGCCGCGACCAAUUGUGCUUUCGGGUCAGGAACAGCCAAGUCUUCCUCUGUAGGCAACUUGACAGAAGGGUUAUGCAGAAUAUCCAAGAAAGUAUUAGGCGGCACCGGCUUACGCUGAGACCCCAGCCGGCUUAAGGCAUCGGCCACCUCGUUCUUUCUGCGGUCAAUGCGCUCCACUUGGUAACCCUUGAAAUGUCCAGCAAUGGCAUCAACUUCGCAGUGAUAAGCCGCCAUGAGAGGAUCCUUGGAGUCCCACUUGCCUGAUACUUUUUGAGCCACCAAAUUUGAGUCGCCAAAGCACCUUACCCGGCUUAAGCUCAUCUCUUUAGCCAUCCGAAGACCAUGGAGCAAGGCCUCAUACUCAGCUGCAUUGUUAGUACAGAGAAACAUCAACCGUUGCACAUAACAAAAUUUGUCACCUCGAGGGGAAGCUAAAACAACUCUAGCCCCCGAGCCCUCCAAUUGCCUGGACCCAUCAAAGUGAAUAGUCCAAUAUGUGUCGUCCGACUUCUCUUCAGGCAUCUGCAGCUCCGUCCAAUCGUUGAUGAAGUCCACCAGUGCUUGAGACUUGAUAGAAGUGCGUGGCACAUACUUUAAACCAUGAGGCCCAAGUUCAAUGGCCCACUUGGCGACUCGUCCUGUGCCUUCUCUAUUUUGAAUGAUAUCUCCUAAAGGAGCAGAAUUGAUCGCAGUGAUAGGAUGGCCCAGGAAAUAUUGCUUAAGCUUCCGGUUUGCCAUGAACACCCCAUAAACGAGCUUCUGCCAAUGUGGAUACCGUUGCUUGGACUCAAUAAGUACCUCACUGAUGUAGUAAACCGGCCGUUGAACUGGAUGCUCCUUGCCAGCCUCCUUGCGCUCCACCACAAUGGCCACACUGACAACACAUGUGUUAGCAUCCACAUGUAACAAUAGUGGCUCCUUAUCAAUGGGAGCAGCAAGGACCGGUGGCUCAGCUAGCUGUCUCUUCAAAUCUUCAAAGGCAGCGUUAGCAGCAUCACUCCAGACGAAGUCGUCUAUCUUCUUCAUCAUCUGAUAUAGCGGUAUGGCCUUCUCCCCUAACCGGCUUAUGAACCGGCUUAAAGGAGCAAUACGACCCGCUAGACGAUGAACAUCAUUGAUACACGCCGGUUUAGCCAAAGAGGUGAUUGCCUUGAUCUUCUCCGGGUUAGCCUCAAUGCCUCUGUUAGAAACCAGAAAACCCAAGAGCUUGCCUGCCGGUACACCAAAAAUGCACUUGGCUGGGUUAAGCACCAUCUUGUAGACCCGGAGGUUAUCAAAGGUCUCCUUCAGAUCAUCUAUCAACGUCUCCUUCUCUCUGGAUUUCACCACAUUGUCAUCCACAUAAGCAUGAACAUUACGCCCAAUCUGAUUGUGAAGACAGUUCUGCACACAUCGCUGAUAAGUCGCCUGGGCACUCUUAAGCCCAAAAGACAUAGACACAUAGCAGAAGGCUCCAAAUGGAGUAAAUAAAGCUAUCUUCUCCUGGUCCUUAACUGCCAUCUUGAUCUGAUGAUAACCAGAAUAAGCAUCCAAAAAGCUCAAACACUCACAACCCGCCAUAGCAUCAAUGAUUUGAUCAAUACGAGGGAGAGCGAAGGGAUCAGCCGGACAAGCUUUGUUUAAAUCCGUGUAAUCCACACACAUACGCCAAGUGCCGUUCUUCUUAAGCACCAACACCGGUUUAGCUAACCACUUUGGAUGAAAAACAUCAAUAAUGAACCUAGAUGCCAAGAGCCGGGCUACUUCCUCACCAAGGCCUUACGCCUCUCUUCAUUGAACCACCGAAGAAACUGUUUGACCAGCUUAAAUUUUGGAUCAAUAUUGAGAGUGUGCUCAGCGAGUUCUCUCGGUACACCCGGCAUGUCAGAAGGUUUCCAUGCAAAGAUGUCCCAGUUCUCAUGGACGAACUCGAUGAGCGCGCUUUCCUAUUUGGGAUCCAGAUUGGCACUGAUACUGAACCGCUUAGAUGAGUCGCCUGGAACAAAAUCAACAAGGUUGGUGUCAUCGGCCGACUUAAACUUCAUUACCGACUCAUGCUCUGUGGUUGGCUUCUUCAAAGACAUCAUGUCCGCCGGGUCAACAUUGUCCUUGUAGAACUUCAACUCCUUUGUUGCACAAACAGAUCCAGCGUAAGUAGCAUUGCCUUCCUCACAUUCCAAAGCUAUCUUUCGACUCCCAUGCACUAUGAUGGUGACCUUAUGACCUGGCAUCUUGAGCUACAAAUAAACAUAACACGACCGUGCCAUGAACUUGGCAAAAGCCGACCAUCCAAACAGGGCGUGAUACGGGCUCUUGAUUUUGACCACCUCAAAGGUUAACUUCUCAGCCCUAGAAUCAUGCUCAUCUCCAAAGGCUACCUCCAGCUCAAUCUUACCCACUGGGUAUGCCAACUUACUAGGGACCACUCCAUGAAAAAUAGUGUUGGAAGUCUUGAGAUUUUUAUCAGUCAAACCCAUGCGACGAAAAGUCUCAUAAUAAAGGAUAUUGAUGCUACUGCCUCCAUCCAUGAGCACUUUAGUGAAUUUAUAUCCACCAACCUGAGGUGCCAACACCAAGGCCAAGUGACCCAUAUUGUCAACCCGGGGAGGGUGAUAUUCCCUACUCCAUAGAAUAGGCUGCUCAUACCAUCUCAAAUAACGAGGAAUUACCGGCUCAACAAUGUUCACAGCCCUCUUAUGAAGCUUCUGGUCCCGUUUGCACAAACUGGUGGUAAACACAUGAUAUUGUCCACUAUUCAACUGCUUUGGAUUACUUUGAUAUCCACCUUGCUGCUGCUACUGACCACCCUGGCCAGAUUGCUGAUUAUAACCACCUUGAUGACCCUGAGAGCUUUGAAAAUUAGAAUUGAACCGCCGCCCGGGCCAUGAAAGCCGCCGCCACCUGAGCCGCCGCCCGGCCCAUAAUUACCGUCGAACAUGUUGGAAUUCUUGAAAUCCUUCAUGAUUGUACAGUCCUUCCAUAUGUGAGUGACCGGUUUCUAUGGAGUACCGUGCCUUGGACAGGGCUCAUUUAAUAACUACUCAAGCGUGGGGCUUGAGCCACCUGACCGAGGAGGCGAUCUCCCCUUACAUCGUUGAUUGUUGCCCUGCCCAUUGGUGUUAGCCACAAACUCCAAGCUACCAUCAGCCUUACAUUUAUUAUUACCUCCUUGAUUCACCGGGUUAUGCUGAGUGUCGGAUUUACGGUUCCGGCAAAACCCUUGAGGUUCGAACACUGGGGUGCGCACAAAGAUUCCCCCCUACCAAAUCUCGCUCUCAGCCUCGCCGCGAUGCCUAAGCUUAGCUCGAUUAACUCACAACACAAGAGACACAAGAUUUAUACAGGUUCGGGCCACCGUUGUGGUGUAAUACCCUACUCCUGUGUGGUGGUGGUGGAUUGCCUCUUGGGCUGAUGAUGAACAAUACACGGGAAGAACAGCCUCCUGAGGGGAGGUGUUCUUGUGCUUGGUAAACUUGUGUGGAUGAGGAUGGUCUAAAUGUCCUCCCCUUCUAUUGUGGUGGCUAGUCCUAUUUAUAGAGGCUCUGGUCCUUUCCCCAAAUAUUGAGCGGGAAGGGAUCCAACAACGACCAAUUUGAAGGGGGACAACUAGUACAAGCUAUCCUGACUAAAGGUGGUCUUCGCCUGUCAAAGGCGCCGGUGGUGACACUGUCUUGGGCUCCACGAUGACCUCCGUCCUGCCGUAAUGCUGGUCUUGGUAUUGUUGCACCGAUAUGGAAACAUUUGCCUGAUGCCUCGGUACUCCACGCCUGCGCUUGCCCCCUUAGCACCAAAGUGGAAACGAGGACACUGCGCUCGCUGGCGCCCGCCUGGCACCCGCUUGGACUUGGUCGUCAUGGCUUGUGUCACGGGAACCUCACGAGGUACUGCUUGCCUUGAUCUCUCCGCCUUCUACGCGAGCCUGCCUGGUGAGGCCGCUCCUAAGGAGGCCUUGUGUCGUCUGCCUCGCGAGGUUUGGCCCCUUGUGAGGGUCUUGAGUGUUGGUUGACGAAGACGGGCCAUACUGGGCCACUGGUAGAGCCACGCCGUGGGCCGCAGGCAGGCAAGUCUGGGGACCCCUAUUCCUAGAACGCCGACAGUAGCCCCCGGCCCAAGGCACGCUCGGACUUGGCUUAGCGGCAAAGACAAAAGGGCAAGUGCCGAGCACUGCGGGCCCCAACAGCCUGCGGCCUUGGUCGAUACAUGGCGACUGAUUGGACGUGGGCGUCUCCGCUUCCCCAUGCUGCCUCAGCAACUGCCUGACUUGGCGAGUCCCUGUGAGGAAUCGAGAAACACCCCGUGGGGGCGUGUAAGGGUCCGCGAUGUCUUUUGUUGAUGUUAUCCUGAUUAUGAAAUCGUGCAAGUGCUUGUCCUGUCCCGGCUCGGUUCCCCCUUUCUAACCUCGCGACGACUUGGUGCUUUACACUGACAGGUCCUGGUCCCCAGGCAGGUUGCAGCCGUCGCUGGUAUGCCAGGUCAUGAUGCCGUGGUCAAGGCCAGAAGGUGAGCGGCCCGAGGUCCAGUAAGAGCCCCUGAGGUGCGAUGCUCAGGAGGUCCCCUUUACCGCACAAGCAGCCGCCGAGAGGUGAGAAAGGAAGGCAACGUUGCCGCCACUGGGCUGCAUUAAGUGAGAAAUUCCGCGUUGCAACGAUUAGUUGUUCCAGGCGUGAAACUUAUCUCGGCAAUCUGGAGUCGUUCCCUUGCGUUGCGCCAGACUGGUGCGUCGGUAGCCAUGGCACAGCUAGGUUAGGCCCGUGCGAGCCUCCCCCUUCUUCCCCGCACUCUCCUUUGUGCUCUAAGUCCUCAGGUCCCGGCCCUCGAGCGAGCUCAGCCGCCCUUGGUAUGUCAGGUCGCGAUGCGGUGGUCAAGGCCAGGGGGUGAGGGCUGGAGAGCCAGUAAGAGCUCCUGAGUCGCGAUGCUUAGGUGUCACGCCCAAUAUGCGACCCUAUCCAAAAGGAACUCGAAGGUCCCACCAAGGAUAGACCCGCAUAUUGAAACGCUUUUGCAAGGUGGAUAUCAUUACAUCAACAUUACAUAAUAGAUGGGGAUACAUACAAGAGGCAUACAAUGUCACAUGAAUACAACAUCACAAUACAUAAGAGCAUCAUCCGACUACGGAUGAAACACAAACAGAAACUCAAACGACAUCCACCCUGCUAGCCCAGGCUGCCGACCUGGAACCUAUCCCCUGAUCGAAGAAGCAGAAGAAGAACUCAACGCAAGCAAGCAUCGCUCUCGCGUCAUGAUCGUCAUGAUUGCCACGAGGACUCAGCAAUCCCAUUACCAUGGGUAUCAAGACUAGCAAAGCUUAAAGGGAAAGGAAGGGGUAAAGUGGUGAGGCUGCAGGAGUGACUAAGCAAGAUAUGGUGGCUAACAUACGCCAAUAAGAGCGAGAAGAGAGCAAAAGGAACGGUUGUCAACUAGUAAUGAUCAAGAAGUGAUCCUAAACUCCUACUUACGUCAAACAUAACCCAGAAACCGUGUUCACUUUCCGGACUCCGCCGAAAAGAGACCAUCACGGCUACACACGCGGUUGAUGUGUUUUAAUUCGGAUCUGGUGUCAAGUUAUCUACAACCAGACAUUAACAAAUUCCCAUCUGCCAAUAACCGCAGGCACGGCUUUCGAAAGAUUAUACCCUGCAGGGGUGUCCCAACUUACCCCAUGACAAGCUCUCGCGAUCAACGAAGGAAUAGACCUUCUCCCAGGAAGACCCAAUCAGACUCGGAAUCCCGGUUUACAAGACAUUUCGACAAUGGUAAAACAAGACCAGCAAAGCCGCCCGAUGCGCCGACAAUCCCGAUAGGAGCUGCACAUAUCUUGUUCUCAGGGCAACACCGGAUGAGACUAGCUACGAGUAAAACCAGCCCUCAAGUUGCCCCGAGGUGGCCCCNNNNNNNNNNNNNNNNNNNNNNNNNNNNNNNNNNNNNNNNNNNNNNNNNNNNNNNNNNNNNNNNNNNNNNNNNNNNNNNNNNNNNNNNNNNNNNNNNNNNNNNNNNNNNNNNNNNNNNNNNNNNNNNNNNNNNNNNNNNNNNNNNNNNNNNNNNNNNNNNNNNNNNNNNNNNNNNNNNNNNNNNNNNNNNNNNNNNNNNNNNNNNNNNNNNNNNNNNNNNNNNNNNNNNNNNNNNNNNNNNNNNNNNNNNNNNNNNNNNNNNNNNNNNNNNNNNNNNNNNNNNNNNNNNNNNNNNNNNNNNNNNNNNNNNNNNNNNNNNNNNNNNNNNNNNNCCCAAGGGAAAAGUAGGUGGAGGUGAGGCAAAUGGUAAAACCAAGGUUGGGCCUUGCUGGAGGAGUUUUAUUCAAAGCAAACUGUCGAGGGGGUCCCAUAAAUCACCCGACCGCGUAAGGAACACAAAAUCCGGGAACAUAACACCGGUAUGACGGAAACUAGGGUGGCAAGAGUGGAACAAAACACCAGGCAUAAGGCCGAGUCUUCCACCCUUUACCAAGUAUAUAGAUGCAUUAAUAAUAUAAGAGAUAUUGUGAUAUCCCAACCAAAAUCCUGUCCACCAUGGAGCAAUCUUCAACUUCACCUGCAACUAGCAACGCUAUAAGAGGGCUGAGCAAAGCGGUAACAUAGCCAAGCAACGGUUUGCUAGGAAGGGUGUCAAAGGUUAGAGGUUCAUGACAAUUUGGGAGGCUUGAUGAGCAAAAGAUAGGUAACGCAACAUAGCGAUAGAACGAAGCAACUAGCAUAUCAAUGAUAGUAGUGAGAUCCAGGGUAGCGGUCAUCUUGCCUGAAAUCCCGCUAGGAAGAAGAACGAGUCCAUGAAGAAGACAAGCGGAAGUAGUCGAACGAAUCCUCACAACUCCGGAACGAAACCGAAGGCAACCCGGAAAGAAGCAAACAACAUAGUAAAUGCACAAGCAUAAACAUGGCAUGAUGCACAAACAAGUAUGAUGCAUGUCCGGUUUAAUAAGGCAUGGCAUGGCAAAGUGCAACAAACAAUACUACCAAUUAAGUGGAGCUCAAUAUGCAACGAGUUGCAUAUUGACGAAACACCACAUUGACAUAUUUAGUUCUCUCUCGGUUAGGUACACAACAAUAUUAAAUGUUGUUAAACAUGGCAAGAGGUGAAACAUAAUUAAUCUACCUAUCUAGGCAAGUUUAAGUGAGGCCGGAACAACAAACAACAAUUCUGGAAAUCCCCCAUGUGCAUAAAAUGAAUUUGGUACUGUUCUGCCCUAAACACAAUUUUAAUGUUGUUAAACAGCAACAUAAAGUGCACCAUGUUAAUCUAGGCAUUUUUCCACCCCAUUUACAUAUAAAGUUUAUUAAAAUUGGAGCUACGGUUAUUUAGUUAUGAAAUAAAUCAUUUUAACAUGGCAUACAUGCAAAUGAUAUGCAAACAGCAUUUUAAACAUUUUAAACAUGGAUGAAAAUGGCAUAUUAUUAAUCUUUGCAAUUUUCUAAGCAUUUUACAUAUAUAAAUCAUUUUAAUCCGAUGCAUGGUUUGUGAGUUAUUAAAUGUAUGAUGUAUGAGGGGUUUUCUGCAAAUCUGUAAACUCUGGAUAAAUAGCUAAAGUCGUCCAGAGGAAAAAAAAACCAUGCGUUGGGCCGAAACUGAUUGGCCCAACAGAGCAGAGGGGCUGUUGGGGCUGCUCACCCAUGGGCUGAGGCCCGACUGGUGGAGAGGCUGGCUGCAGUGCCUUGGUGGGCCGCGGGCGAGGCGCGAUGAGGAACGAGGCGAGGCCGGAUCUGGCUUGGGCCGGCUUCGGCUGGGCCUUGGGGAUCUAGAUACGGCAGGCUGGAUCGACCGAGGGAGGGGACGCGGUCAACGUGCUCGGGGCGCUGACCCCAUCGAUGCAGGCGCGCGGCUGGAGAGGCGCAGGGGCUUGGGGCGUUCUCCGGCGAGGGCUGGCCGCGU